GACGAACGCUGGCGGCGUGCCUAAUACAUGCAAGUAGAACGCUGAAGGAGGAGCUUGCUUCUCCGGAUGAGUUGCGAACGGGUGAGUAACGCGUAGGUAACCUGCCUGGUAGCGGGGGAUAACUAUUGGAAACGAUAGCUAAUACCGCAUAAGAGUAGAUGUUGCAUGACAUUUGCUUAAAAGGUGCAAUUGCAUCACUACCAGAUGGACCUGCGUUGUAUUAGGUAGUUGUUGGGGUAACGGCUUACCAAGGCGACGAUGCAUAGCCGCACGGAGAGGGGGAUCGGCCACACUGGGACUGAGACCCGGCCCAGACUCCUACGGGAGGCAGCAGUAGGGCAUCUUCGGCAAUGGACGGAAGUCUGACCGAGCAACGCCGCGGGCGUGAAGAAGGUUUUCGGGUCGUAGAGCUCUGUUGUAAGAGAAGAACGAGUGUGAGAGUGGAAAGUUCACACUGUGACGGUAUCUUACCAGAAAGGGACGGCUAACUACGUG
rnacentral:rRNA from 1 species